CGGUAAUUCCAGCUCCAAUAGCGUAUACUAAAGUUAUUGCAGUUAAAAAGCUCGUAGUUGGAUUUCUGCGGGGACGGAGCGGCCGGACGCAACUUGCGUCUCGAGCUAGCGCUUUCCCCGCAUCCUGCCGCGAACCGUGCUACCAUUAGUUUGGUGGCGCUGGGGAUCGGCUCGAUUACUUUGAGAAAAAUAGAGUGUUCAAAGCAGGCCACACGCCUUGAAUAAGUUAGCAUGGAAUAAUGACUAAGGACUUCGGUUCUAUUUUGUUGGUGUUCGGGACUGAAGUAAUGAUUGAUAGGGACAGUUGGGGCGGUCUGUAUUCCAAAGCGAGAGGUGAAAUUCUUAGACCUUCGGAAGACAAACAGCUGCGAAAGCGUUCCGCAAGGAUGUUCCCUUUGAUCAAGAACGAAAGUUGGGGGAUCGAAGACGAUCAGAUACCGUCGUAGUCUCAACUAUAAACUAUACCAGCUAGGGAUCGGCCAACGUUUAAUUAUUCGACUUGGUCGGCACCUUAUGAGAAAUCAAAGCAUCUGGGUUCCGGGGGGAGUAUGGUCGCAAGGCUGAAACUUAAAGGAAUUGACGGAAGGGCACCACCAGCCGUGGAGCCCGUGGCUUAAUUUGACUCAACACGGGAAAACUUACCAGGUCCAGACAUAGGAAGGAUUGACAGAUUGAUAGCUCUUUCUUGAUUCUGUGGGUGGUGGUGCAUGGCCGUUUUUAGUUGGUGGAGUGAUUUGUCUGCUUAAUUGCGUUAACGAACGAGACCCCAGCCUGCUAAAUAGCGCGGCCGAGCUUUGCUCGGUGCGAGCUUCUUAGAGGGACCAUGAUGCGCGAUAGCACAAGGAAGUUUGGGGCAACAACAGGUCUGUGAUGCCCUUAGAUGUUCUGGUCCGCACACGGGCUACACUGGCGCCUGCAACGAGCAUAUCAGCUGGCCCGAGAGGGUCUUGGCUAAUCUUUUGAACCGGCGCCGUGCUUGGGAUUGACCUUUGCAAUUGUUGGUCAUGCAACGAGGAAUGCCUUGUAAACGCGAGUCAUCAGCUCGCAUUGAAUACGUCCCUGCCCUUUGUACACACCGCCCGUCGCUCCUACCGAUGAAUGUUCCGAUGAAAUUUUCGGAGAGCGCCAGAGAACGGGGCUCUGCCUUGCAGAUCUGGAGGCUCAAAGUCACUUAAAUCUGAACAUUUCGAGGAAGGAGAAGUCGUAACAAGGUAACC
rnacentral:rRNA from 1 species